ensembl:lncRNA
CCCCAUAACGCUAUGUACUAGCUCCCAUUCAUUUGUAGGCCUAAACUAAAAUACAUACUGAAUACCAUUAGGGUUUACGGAAUGGGACCAAGAAGACGGUAGCGCCUCAAAACGACCACACUCGCGCCGAGGUCCAUUUUAAUCCGGAGAAAAAACUUGGAGGAACGAAGAUACUCCCGAACUUCUUCGAAUCGGCCAGGCUUGCGGUGCGAGAUAGCCCGCCAUGAUACUGCAGAAAUAUAUUUUGCAAAAAGAUUAUCCAUCAUUGCUUAAAGCUGCACACAUACGGCUGAAAACUAAAAUAACCGACACAGAUGGAGAUGAAUGCAUGAGUUUCUUCCUGUCAGAUCGGGUCCACCCGCUCCUCACCCGCCUUGUGAAGGUUGUUGGAAACAAACCUCUCUGUACUGUAUUGAGCCAUCUGGUGGUGCUAUAUCUUAGAAGGAGACAAUUAAACAACACAGCUUCAGUGUUCUGCCCACUGUAUAUCGCUCCCAAGGUAUUUUAAUUCACUAAUAACAACAAUGUCAACAUUUAGAUCACAUUAUAAAGAUCAAUUGUGACGAAGAUUUGAAUCCGAUCGAAACGUAGUCCUCGUUCUUACUAGUGAAAAUGUAUACCUAGGAUGCAAUCCAAGUGUGAGGACUCCACACUUUCAAACGUUGUGUUAAAACCUGCAAAAAACAUUGAUUUGUUUUUAUAUGUCCUUCUACGACCAAAACUUUAGGUCGCUUGCACCAUUCGUCAUUACCAUGAAGGUUAUUUUGUACCUUUUCAAAACAAAUUCAUCACUAUCUUUCUCGCGCGUAAACGAAAAGAGAGUCAGGUGGGAGAUCACGGUCGCACCAAGGACAGUUCUUAUCAUCCAGAAGAGUUGAGCAGAAGUGCCGGCCGAAGUCCUUAUUUGUUACAGCAAUUCAAAAUAGAAUAGCAG